rnacentral:rRNA from 1 species
GGGUUGUGAGGUUAAGCGACUAAGCGUACACGGUGGAUGCCCUGGCAGUCAGAGGCGAUGAAGGACGUGCUAAUCUGCGAUAAGCGCCGGUAAGGUGAUAUGAACCGUUAUAACCGGCGAUUUCCGAAUGGGGAAACCCAGUGUGACUCGUCACACUAUCAUUAACUGAAUCCAUAGGUUAAUGAGGCGAACCGGGGGAACUGAAACAUCUAAGUACCCCGAGGAAAAGAAAUCAACCGAGAUUCCCCCAGUAGCGGCGAGCGAACGGGGAGGAGCCCAGAGUCUGAAUCAGCAUGUGUGUUAGUGGAAGCGUCUGGAAAGGCGCGCGAUACAGGGUGACAGCCCCGUACACAAAAGCGCAUGUGCUGUGAGCUCGAUGAGUAGGGCGGGACACGUGGUAUCCUGUCUGAAUAUGGGGGGACCAUCCUCCAAGGCUAAAUACUCCUGACUGACCGAUAGUGAACCAGUACCGUGAGGGAAAGGCGAAAAGAACCCCGGCGAGGGGAGUGAAAAAGAACCUGAAACCGUGUACGUACAAGCAGUGGGAGCCCCACCACUAAGCCAGUGGUGAACUCCACAUACGCAUCCUUUGCUGAGGAUACGGUUAACGGAGCGAAAGCGAUGUUCAACCGCAAAAGAAGCAGAGGGGGCUUAGUGGUGGGGUGACUGCGUACCUUUUGUAUAAUGGGUCAGCGACUUAUAUUCUGUAGCAAGGUUAACCGAAUAGGGGAGCCGGAGGGAAACCGAGUCUUAACCGGGCGUUAAGUUGCAGGGUAUAGACCCGAAACCCGGUGAUCUAGCCAUGGGCAGGUUGAAGGUUGGGUAACACUAACUGGAGGACCGAACCGACUAAUGUUGAAAAAUUAGCGGAUGACCUGUGGCUGGGGGUGAAAGGCCAAUCAAACCGGGAGAUAGCUGGUUCUCCCCGAAAGCUAUUUAGGUAGCGCCUCGUGAAUUCAUCUCCGGGGGUAGAGCACUGUUUCGGCUAGGGGGCCAUCCCGGCUUACCAACCCGAUGCAAACUGCGAAUACCGGAGAAUGUUAUCACGGGAGACACACGGCGGGUGCUAACGUCCGUCGUGAAGAGGGAAACAACCCAGACCGCCAGCUAAGGUCCCAAAGUCAUGGUUAAGUGGGAAACGAUGUGGGAAGGCCCAGACAGCCAGGAUGUUGGCUUAGAAGCAGCCAUCAUUUAAAGAAAGCGUAAUAGCUCACUGGUCGAGUCGGCCUGCGCGGAAGAUGUAACGGGGCUAAACCAUGCACCGAAGCUGCGGCAGCGAACGUAUCACCCAAGACAACUUUACGGAGUUAACGAUUGACGGAGCGAAGCGACGUCAAAGCGUUCAUUAAAGUCGAGUUGGCUUAGGGAUACGUUCGUUGGGUAGGGGAGCGUUCUGUAAGCCUGUGAAGGUGGCCUGUGAGGGUUGCUGGAGGUAUCAGAAGUGCGAAUGCUGACAUAAGUAACGAUAAAGCGGGUGAAAAGCCCGCUCGCCGGAAGACCAAGGGUUCCUGUCCAACGUUAAUCGGGGCAGGGUGAGUCGACCCCUAAGGCGAGGCCGAAAGGCGUAGUCGAUGGGAAACGGGUUAAUAUUCCCGUACUUGGUGUUACUGCGAAGGGGGGACGGAGAAGGCUAUGUUGGCCGGGCGACGGUUGUCCCGGUUUAAGCGUGUAGGUGUGUGUUCCAGGUAAAUCCGGUUCACUUUAACACUGAGGCGUGAUGACGAGGCACUACGGUGCUGAAGCAACAAAUGCCCUGCUUCCAGGAAAAGCCUCUAAGCAUCAGGUAACAUCAAAUCGUACCCCAAACCGACACAGGUGGUCAGGUAGAGAAUACCAAGGCGCUUGAGAGAACUCGGGUGAAGGAACUAGGCAAAAUGGUGCCGUAACUUCGGGAGAAGGCACGCUGACACGUAGGUGAAGUGAUUUACUCAUGGAGCUGAAGUCAGUCGAAGAUACCAGCUGGCUGCAACUGUUUAUUAAAAACACAGCACUGUGCAAACACGAAAGUGGACGUAUACGGUGUGACGCCUGCCCGGUGCCGGAAGGUUAAUUGAUGGGGUCAGCGCAAGCGAAGCUCCUGAUCGAAGCCCCGGUAAACGGCGGCCGUAACUAUAACGGUCCUAAGGUAGCGAAAUUCCUUGUCGGGUAAGUUCCGACCUGCACGAAUGGCGUAAUGAUGGCCAGGCUGUCUCCACCCGAGACUCAGUGAAAUUGAACUCGCUGUGAAGAUGCAGUGUACCCGCGGCAAGACGGAAAGACCCCGUGAACCUUUACUAUAGCUUGACACUGAACAUUGAGCCUUGAUGUGUAGGAUAGGUGGGAGGCUUUGAAGUGUGG